rnacentral:rRNA from 1 species
UACAGAGGUCCCAAGCGUUGUUCGGAUUCACUGGGCGUAAAGGGUGCGUAGGCGGUCGGGUAAGUCUGGCGUGAAAUCUCCAAGCCUAACUUGGAAACUGCGUUGGAUACUAUCCGGCUCGAGGAAUGGAGGGGAGACUGGAAUACUUGGUGUAGCAGUGAAAUGCGUAGAUAUCAAGUGGAACACCAGUGGCGAAGGCGGCUCUCUGGACAGGUACUGACGCUGAGACGCGAAAGCGUGGGUAGCAAACAGG